CCCCCUGUGCCGUCGUUAACACAAUAAGUUCCCCCGCCUGGGGAGUACGGUCGCACGUCUAAAACUCAAAGGAAUUGACGGGGGCCCGCACAAGCAGCGGAGCAUGUGGUUAAUUCGAAGCAACGCGAAGAACCUUACGUAGACUUGACAUCUCCUGAAUUACCCGUAACUGGGGAAGCUGUUCGGAGCAGGAAGACAGGUGGUGCAUGGUUGUCGUCAGCUCGUGUCGUGAGAUGUUGGGUUAAGUCCCGCAACGAGCGCAACCCUUAUAGUUAGUUGCUACCAUUAAGUUGAGCACUCUAGCGAGACUGCCCGGGUUAACCGGGAGGAAGGUGGGGAUGACGUCAAAUCAUCAUGCCCCUUAUGUCUAGGGCUACACGCGUGAUACAAUGGUGAGGACAAAGAGACGCAAGCCCGCGAGGUGGAGCAAAUCUCACAAACCUCAUCCCAGUUCGGAUUGCAGGCUGAAACUCGCCUGCAUGAAGCCGGAGUUGCUAGUAAUCGGGAAUCAGCAUGUCGCGGUGAAUACGUUCCCGGGCCUUGUACACACCGCCCGUCACCCCAUGAGAGUUGGCAAUACCAGAAGUCCGUGGGGUAACCGUAAGGGGCCAGCGGCCGAAGGUAGGGUCAGCGAUUGGGGUGAAGUCGUAACAAGGU
rnacentral:rRNA from 1 species